rnacentral:rRNA from 1 species
ACUCAAAUGAAUAGACGGGGACCCGCACAAGCAGCGGAGCGUGUGGUUUAAUUCGAGGCUACGCGAAGAACCUUACCUGGGUUUGACAUACAGGUGGUAGGGAUCCGAAAGGUGACCGACCCCUCGGGGAGCCUGUACAGGUGUUGCAUGGCUGUCGUCAGCUCGUGUCGUGAGAUGUCCGGUUAAGUCCGGUAACGAGCGCAACCCUUACCGUAUGUUACAAGUGUCAUACGGGACUGCCGAUAUAAAGUCGGAGGAAGGUGGGGACGAAGUCAAGUCAGCAUGACCUUUAUAUCCAGGGCUACACACACGCUACAAUGGCCGGUACAAUGGGUCGCAAAACCGCGAGGUGGAGCCAAUCCUGAAAGCCGGUCUCAGUUCGGAUUGUAGGCUGCAACUCGCCUACAUGAAGUCGGAGUUGCUAGUAACCGCGCGUCAGCACAGUGCGGUGAAUACGUUCCCGGGUCUUGUACACACCGCCCGU